GUGCUGGCUUCAGAAGCACAUAUACUAAAAUUGGAACAAUACAGAGAAGAUCAGCAUGGCCCUUGCACAAGGGUAACAUGCAAAUCUGUGAAGUGUCCCAUUUUUGU
ensembl:snRNA U6 U6 spliceosomal RNA